rnacentral:rRNA from 1 species
GAUGAACGCUAGCGGCAGGCUUAAUACAUGCAAGUCGAGGGGUAACAUGGUAGCAAUACGGAUGACGACCGGCAAACGGGUGCGGAACACGUACAGAACCUUCCUUUAAGCGGGGGAUAGCCCAUAGAAAUGCGGAUUAAUACCCCAUAGUAAUGUUUAAUGGCAUCAUUAGAUAUUUAAAGAUUUAUCACUUAAAGAUGGCUGUGCGGCUGAUUAGGUAGUUGGUGCGGGUAACGGCCCACCAAGCCAGCGAUCAGUAACUGGUGUGAGAGCACGACCAGUCACACGGGCACUGAGACACGGGCCCGACUCCUACGGGAGGCAGCAGUAAGGAAUAUUGGUCAAUGGACGCAAGUCUGAACCAGCCAUGCCGCGUGAAGGAUGAAGGCCCUCUGGGGUUGUAAACUUCUUUUAUCUGGGAAGAAAUGCCUGUUUUCUAACGGGUUUGACGGUACCAGAGGAAUAAGCACCGGCUAACUCCGUGCCAGCAGCCGCCGU